UACGUAGGGGGCUAGCGUUGUCCGGAAUCAUUGGGCGUAAAGAGCGCGUAGGCGGCCAGAUAAGUCUGGUGUGAAAGUCACAGGCUCAACCUGUGAAUGCCGCUGGAAACUGUCUGGCUUGAGUCCGGGAGGGGCGAGUGGAAUUCCUGGUGUAGCGGUGAAAUGCGCAGAUAUCGGGAGGAACACCAGUGGCGAAGGCGGUUGCCUGGAGCUUUGCUGACGCUGAUGCGCGAAAGCGUGGGGAGCGAUCCGG
rnacentral:rRNA from 1 species